GAAUCUCUCUCUCUGUUAUCUUCAGAGGAGAGCAACUGAUAUCGUAUCCUCAGAAAAAUUAUUCAUCUUCUCCGUUCUUCUCAAUUAACCUAACGCCUCACUGAAACAAAAACAAAGCAACCCGAAGAAUCUCUCGCCAAUCAUCCAUGAAAACAUGAUCUAGGGCCAAUUUUUGGCUGAAAAUUUCUUUUGAAUGUUUAAUUUCAAAUUCUAGGGUUAGUGUAGGGCCAAUUUGUCGCUGAAAGUUUCUUUUGAUUGUGUAAGUUCAAAUUCUAGGGUUUGUUUAGGGCCAAUUUUUAGCACAAGAUUGCUUUUGAUAGUAUAAUUUCAAUUCAACUUCUAGGGUUACACUAUCGAAAGAAACUUUCAGAAGAAAAUUUUUAUAUGUGCAGAAAAAAACUUUUAUCUCAACAUUGCUUUUGAUAAUAUGUAAGAUGUGCAGCUCGGGCCAUUUUUAAUGGAUUUAUUUCCUUCAGUACUUGGAAUUAAUAGAUAUAAUUUUUUCAACUCAUAGAGCCUGAUGUAUUUAUGUACUUAAAAGAAGAAAAAUAGAAGCUCCAACUUGGAACUGCGAAGUUUGAGGUUAGGUCAUCUUUAAUUUCUUUCCCCUGGCAAUAUUGCAUAGUAACUGAAAAUGUGCUAAACUUUUGGAUCCCCAUUUAGUUUGAAACGACUAAAGAAUAAAUGACACUUUAGUUUCAUCUGAAUGGUAUAGUUUACAGUAAAUUCAUAUGAGUGUUAUAGUUUCAUAGUGAAAAUUUGGUUGUGGUAAUGACAAUUUUGCUACUGAUGAUGUUGAUCAUCGCAAGUAGCUUAAUAUUGAGCUGUGAAGUCUCCACUAACAUUGGGUUUGUUGUUAGCACACACUUGCCGGUAUUGUUUGUUACAUACCCUCAUUGCAUGCAUAUAUAAGAUGACAUUUGAGCAAAUAUGACUAUCUAAAUGUCAGAUGUCAUGGUUACUUUUCUGCCUGACAUCAUUUAUCAUAUCCUACCGGUGGUGUUUUGCUGUAGAACGAUUAAUAGUAUUGGUUGCUUAUGUUCUAUGUUAUAAAAUUAUUUAUAUUUACUCCCUGAACGGUUUCAGUUCAUGUUCAUGUUAACUCUAAUUCGACUCUCUGAUACUCCGACUCUCGGUGCACUCUCAAUGCGACUUUGUAAAUUGCGUAAAUGCCUAGAAAAAUAUUUCUUCUUUAAUUUUAGUUUGUGAAUUCAUUUUUGAUUCGGCCCUCUGACUAGUUUAGUUUACUUUUUGUUUCGAUUUGUGGAUGGAUUCAUUACAGGGUAAAGCUUCAGUUCUCAUCCACGUCAAAGUCCAAAAAAUUUCGGCCUUUUUACUUAGGUUUUCUGUUCAUGCCCGACACCAGAACCUUUGGGGAGCACAAAAGCGAAUAGCAGCAUCAUAGCUCAGUUUUGAGUACCUUGGAAAGUUGUGAGUAGUGAACUAGAUAAGCUUUCUAGGCUGAAUGAGAAGAGUAGCAGUGAGGUGAUAUCAAUGCAAAAGGCAAAUGGGUUUGUUGCUACUGCAUCGCACAACUGAAACAUGACUAAAAGAUGAAAAAAGGUGGUACAAGACCUGCAGAUUUUUAUGGAAGCUGUGUGACACAAUCGCGGAAGUAAAAGGUGAUAUUAUGAUGAAAACAGUUGAUACGAGAACUAACCAUGUCCAGUGGAAAGAUGUCUCUGCUUCUAUAUUAAGUAUUGCCAAUUUGUAUAUACAUAUACUACGUCCUUUGAGUAGGUACAUUUUUUACCCGAUUUUAUAAAGUCCACUCUGAAUACAUUCCCGCCCUUUGUAAACCUUGGUUAUAAUAAAUGAAUGGAACUAUAUAAUCAGCACAAUAAAAAAUUUGGCGUGAGGUUCACCUA